AGCGUUGUUCGGAAUUACUGGGCGGAAAGCGCGCGUAGGCGGACCUGCAAGUCGGGGGUGAAAGCCCGAGGCUCAACCUCGGAACUGCCUUCGAUACUGCGGGUCUCGAGUCCGGGAGAGGUGAGUGGAAUUCCUAGUGUAGAGGUGAAAUUCGUAGAUAUUAGGAAGAACACCAGUGGCGAAGGCGGCUCACUGGCUCGGUACUGACGCUGAGGCGCGAAAGCUAGGGGAGCAAACGGG
rnacentral:rRNA from 1 species